CCGGGUCACAUGGCUCAGAGCCGAGCAGAGGAUCAAAGGGGCUUUGUGGCUGCGGAACAAGGAGCCUCCCAGAGCGCGGGCAGAGGUGAUUUCCUGGGACAGGGAGUGGGGAGCGUCCAGCCCCCUGGCACCCCCUGCCCACCUCGCCAGGCCCUGUCACUGGGCCCUGAAGGGCAGCUUACAGGAACCAGCAACAAAGAAUGCCAGGAUGGACUCCUGUCACACCAGGUGUCGAGAUUAACACGGAGCCUCAGAGCUGUCAUCUGCACCCCACACCCGCCCUGGUGGCCUCGUCCCACUGGGUAAAGAGGCCUUCCUUCCCUGCGUUCCCCUCGGAACCGCCCUCUCUGCCUCUGGCCUCGCUUUGUCCCCCAGCUUUCUGGCCCUGAAGGCCACGCCCAGGGCCCACCACCCUUUCCUGGGUACUACAUGGGCAAACGAAAACCACCUGCUCGCCAAGCACACCCCCUCACUCUCCCUCCUCCUCCUCACCAUCUCCUCCAUGGAGGCGGCCUGGGUGCUUUACUCCUCUAGCAGUAUACUCCUCUAGCAGUAUUCCCUCACUGUUCACCAGAUCGAUCAAUGGGGGUCUUUAAGGCACAGGAGAGGGAGUCCCCGUGCCUGACAAGCCCCCCUCUCCAGGCUGUUUUUCCAACACAGAACCAUCUGCCCUCCGGGAUUGCUCAGAGAGUUCCCUGCACUCAGCACACACCGGCAUCUAGAGAAAGCCUGAGCCUGCGCAGCUGUCUGUCAAUCCUCCAGCAGAAACAGGGCGAGCCAUGUCUGUCAUGCAGAAUUGCACCGAUUAAAAAAGAAUCUAGAGAGACAGAAAGCGGACCGGUGCUUGCCAAGGAGGGAGAGGAAUGGGGAGUGACUGCUAAUGGACAUGGGGUUUCCUUCUGGGGCGAUGCAAACGUUCUGGCACCAGACAGUGGGGAUGGUUGCACAACACUGGACGUACUAAAUGCCACUCAUGGUAAAUUCUGCAUUCUGGGUAUUUUACCACCAUAAAUAUAUAGUUAAAGAAAAAAAGUGGGCCGGCCGAGUGGCACGUUGGUUAAGAGUUGGCUUGGGACGCCAGC